UACGGGGGGGGGGCAAGCGUUGUUCGGAAUUACUGGGCGUAAAGGGCUCGUAGGUGGCCAACUAAGUCAGACGUGAAAUCCCUCGGCUUAACCGGGGAACUGCGUCUGAUACUGGAUGGCUUGAGUUCGGGAGAGGGAUGCGGAAUUCCAGGUGUAGCGGUGAAAUGCGUAGAUAUCUGGAGGAACACCGGUGGCGAAGGCGGCAUCCUGGACCAAUUCUGACGCUGAGGAGCGAAAGCCAGGGGAGCAAAGCGGGG
rnacentral:rRNA from 1 species